UAUCUAUCUAUCUAUCUAUCUGCUAUUUAUCUUUACAACAAUUGUGAUUACUUUCUUAACUGUGUUUAUCCUAACCAACUUUCCCUGUGGGAGAAAACCGGAGUGCAUGGAAAAAACCCAGAACUUUUGGCAGAGCGUUGACUGACACAUCUUUUCACAUGAGGCCGUAGUGAGAAUCCAACCCACAAUCCUAGAGGUGAAGGCGCUUGCUCUAAUGACUGUGCCACCAAAGUAGAGAGUCAACUGAACUAGUUAGGUGAAUGUUAGGGUGUCUAUUGCACUGAAUGCUCUGACGACUGUGCCACCAAACUAGAGAAUCAACUGAACUAGUUAGGUGAAUGUUAGGGUGUCUAUUGCACUGAAUGCUCUGACGACUGUGCCACCAAACUAGAGAGUCAACUGAACUAGUUAGGUGAAUGUUAGGGUGUCUAUUGCACUGAAUGCUCUGAUGACUGUGCCACCAAACUAGAGAAUCAACUAAACUAGUUAGGUGAAUGUUAGGGUGUCUAUUGCACUGAAUGCUCUGAUGACUGUGCCACCAAACUAGAGAGUCAACUGAACUAGUUAGGUGAAUGUUAGGGUGUCUAUUGCACUGAAUGCUCAUCAGACUUCACCACCAAACUAGAGAGUCAACUGAACUAGUUAGGUGAAUGUUAGGGUGUCUAUUGCACUGAAUGCUCAUCAGACUUCACCACCAAACUAGAGAAUCAACUGAACUAGUUAGGUGAAUGUUAGGGUGUCUAUUGCACUGAAUGCUCUGACGACUGUGCCACCAAACUAGAGAGUCAGCUGAACUAGUUAGGUGAAUGUUAGGGUGUCUAUUGCACUGAAUUAAUGCUCUGACGACUGUGCCACCAAACUAGAGAGUCAACU